rnacentral:rRNA from 1 species
AAGCGUUUGCAACCAGACUUGCGCGCGGCUGAUCAUCCGGUGUUCUCACCGGUGCACUCGGUCGCGCUCAGGCCAGCAUCAGUUCUGGUGGUCGGAUAAAGGCCGUGGGAAUGUGGCUCUUCGGAGUGUUAUAGCCCACGGUGCCAUGCGGCCUACCGGGACUGAGGACCGCGCUUCGGCUAGGAUGCUGGCGUAAUGGUUGUCAACGA